CCAGAGGUAGGGGAUAACACAGUAGCGAAGCCAGAGGAGGAGGGGAAAGAGAGAAGAAAGAGAGGAAGAAAGUGGGAGAGAAGGAAAGGGAGAGGAGGAGGAAGAGCAGCAGAAGCAUAACCAGGAGGAGGAGGAGGACGAAGAUGAGGAGGAGGAGGAGUAGGAGUCCGUGGUGGUGGUGGUGGUGGUCCUAGUGGUGGUGGUGGUGGUGGUGGUGGUGUGGUGGUGGCUGGCAGUAUCUAGUCGCCCGCGGUAGUGGGGAGUGGUAGAACAGCAGUGCCUCCUGCGUGCCGUGUGAGCGAGCCCUAGUCGCCCACCUAGUGCCUGUAGGUGCCAAGUGAAUGGUGGCACCCGCAGAGGGUCGUGGCGCUCUCCAAGACUCCUCGCACUGCCAAGAUAGUGCCAAGAGUGCCUGAGUGUCGCGAUGUUAAGCUUUUUAGUGCUUCAUACACCCUGUGGCCUUAAAGAAACCAUAUAAAUAACAACAAAAAAGGUUCAAACAUCUUACAAAACAAUCAAACUUGUAUAAUAAAAACAUGUAUAUAUUAUGUACGUAGUAAUAAGACUCAAGGACAAAAAAGUCACAACAGAAAACGAGACCCUGGUUAUCCUAGGAAUGGGUAACUGAAGAAAACCCUAAGUGCAGCAAGUAGUUGUGAUAAUAGUUGUAACAUACGUACUGCAUACACUGUGUUGGGGAGGCGAGGCGCAAGGAGGCAAACAAGGAGGGGAGCUACGGAAGAGAAGAUAAUACUAAGUCAAGGAAUCUCCCCACAUAAGCAGUAAUAUACGAGGAACAACAACAACCGUGAUCCUCUGAACUUUCCUCCUUUUCUGUUGAUCUGUUCCUCUAUCUGCCGUGCCUUUCUUUCCCUUCCGUUCUCUCUAGUGCCUUGCUGACGGUUUCUCUCUCUCUCUCUGUCUCUCUCUCUCUCUCUCUCUCUCUCUCUCUCUCUCUUUAGUGCCUUCCAACUAUCUUUCCUAAUCUUAAGUGUUUCUCCACAUUCCUCUCUUUCUUCGUCUUUCUCUCUUUCUCUCUCUUUCCCUUCCCAAGUGCGCUCAAACUUCUCUCCUUGUCCUUCUUCAACUGACUGACUUUCCAUCUCUCUCUCUCUCUCUCUCUCUCUCUCUCUCUCUCUCUCUCUCU